GGCCCUAUGGCGCAACGGUAGCGCGUCAGAUUCCAGUACGUCUGGAGAUACCUGAAGGCUUUGUGGUAAGCACUCCACAGUAGACAUUGCAUGUACGACCCGUUACUGACCUUGCCUUCAGUUCAAAUCACAAUGGGGUCA